AUUGAACGCUGGCGGCAUGCUUUACACAUGCAAGUCGAACGGUAAAAGGACGCAAGGUGCUGACGAGUGGCGAACGGGUGAGUAAUGCAUCGGAACGUGCCCAGUCGUGGGGGAUAACGCAGCGAAAGCUGUGCUAAUACCGCAUACGAUCUAUGGAUGAAAGCGGGGGACCGUAAGGCCUCGCGCGAUUGGAGCGGCCGAUGUCAGAUUAGCUAGUUGGUGGGGUAAAGGCCCACCAAGGCGACGAUCUGUAGCUGGUCUGAGAGGACGACCAGCCACACUGGAACUGAGACACGGUCCAGACUCCUACGGGAGGCAGCAGUGGGGAAUUUUGGACAAUGGGCGAAAGCCUGAUCCAGCAAUGCCGCGUGCAGGAAGAAGGCCUUCGGGUUGUAAACUGCUUUUGUACGGAGCGAAACGGUCUGGGU
rnacentral:rRNA from 1 species